UAAUUAUUAAUGUUGAGGAAGCACACAUUGUAGUUUAUGUUUAUCGUAUAUUUGAUUGAAAAGACGUAAAAAAGAAAGGGUUAACUCUGAUUCUAAUUGCGAAGCAACUUGCGAUGUCAACGAGUCGGAUUUGGGACGGAUUUUUAAAAAAUCUGAACCCGAACCCGAACCUGACUCUAAACCUAAAACCCGAACCCAACGGAUUUUAAAAUUUUAUAUCCAAACCAAAACCCGAUCAAAAAUCCAAAACCCGAAUCCAAAUCAGAACUCGAAAGUUCGAACUCAAAAUAAUUAUUUAUCUUUUCAAUAUUUCAAAACAUAUUAUAUUAAAUCUAAAUUUUUAAAAUACAAAUUUAAAUAUAACAUCAAAUUUUCAUAUACAUAUGAUAUAUAAUGUAAAAUAAAUUUGGGUUCGUGUUCAGAUCGAGUACAGUCAAAAUUCAUAUUUAUCGGAUUUUUGUUUUUGAUAUUCAUAUUCGAAAUCAUAUCCAUUAAGUACCGGACAAAUUCGCUCCGUUUGAAUUUAGGUUCGGAUAUC
rnacentral:lncRNA from 1 species